CGAAGCCCGAGGGCCAGUCAGCAGCUCGAGGUGUUCCCUCAUUGGUGCUGAAGAUGGGAAGAGACCACUUGGCUUUGGUUUGGAGGAAGUCCACACUGGAUUCGAGGUCAAUUACUUCCACUGUGCAGCUGAAGAAACCAAGAUUCGAGGACUACAGUGACUCACUUAAAGUC